rnacentral:rRNA from 1 species
UACAGGGGGGGCAAGCGUUGUUCGGAAUUACUGGGCGUAAAGGGCUCGUAGGUGGCCAACUAAGUCAGACGUGAAAUCCCUCGGCUUAACCGGGGAACUGCGUCUGAUACUGGAUGGCUGGAGUUUGGGAGAGGGAUGCGGAAUUGCCAGGGUGUAGCGGAUGAAAUGGCGGUAGGAUAAUCUGGAGGAACACCGGUGGCGGAAAGGGC